GACGAACGCUGGCGGCGUGCCUAAUACAUGCCAGUAGAACGCUGAAGGAGGAGCUUGCUUCUCCGGAUGAGUUGCGAACGGGUGAGUAACGCGUAGGUAACCUGCCUGGUAGCGGGGGAUAACUAUUGGAAACGAUAGCUAAUACCGCAUAACAGUAGAUGUUGCAUGACAUUUGCUUAAAAGGUGCAAUUGCAUCACUACCAGAUGGACCUGCGUUGUAUUAGCUAGUUGGUGAGGUAACGGCUCACCAAGGCGACGAUACAUAGCCGACCUGAGAGGGGGGUCGGCCAAACUGGGACUGAGACACGGCCCAGACUCCUACGGGAGGCAGCAGGAGGGAAUCUUCGGCAAUGGACGGAAGGCUGACCGAGCAACGCCGCGUGAGGGAAGAAGGGUUUCGGAUCGGAAAGCUCGGUUGUAAGAGAAGAACGAGUGUGGGAGUGGAAAGUUCACACUGUGACGGUAUCUUACCAGAAAGGGACGGCUAACUACGUG
rnacentral:rRNA from 1 species